CCUACGGGAGGCAGCAGUGGGGAAUAUUGGACAAUGGGGGCAACCCUGAUCCAGCCAUGCCGCGUGUGUGAAGAAGGCCCUCGGGUUGUAAAGCACUUUCAGUGAGGAAGAACGCCUGGUGGUUAAUACCCAUCAGGAAAGACAUCACUCACAGCAGAAGCACCGGCUAACUCCGUGCCAGCAGCCGCGGUAAUACGGAGGGUGCGAGCGUUAAUCGGAAUUACUGGGCGUAAAGCGCGCGUAGGUGGCUUGAUAAGCCGGUUGUGAAAGCCCCGGGCUCAACCUGGGAACGGCAUCCGGAACUGUCAAGCUAGAGUGCAGGAGAGGAAGGUAGAAUUCCCGGUGUAGCGGUGAAAUGCGUAGAGAUCGGGAGGAAUACCAGUGGCGAAGGCGGCCUUCUGGACUGACACUGACACUGAGGUGCGAAAGCGUGGGUAGCAAACAGGAUUAGAUACCCUAGUAGUC
rnacentral:rRNA from 1 species